UAAGGAAUAUUGGACAAUGGAGGCAACUCUGAUCCAGCCAUGCCGCGUGAAGGAAUAAGGCCCUAUGGGUUGUAAACUUCUUUUAGACGGGACAAAACCCCUUUACGUGUAAAGGGUUGAUGGUACUGUCAGAAUAAGCAUCGGCUAACUUCGUGCCAGCAGCCGCGGUAAUACGAAGGAUGCAAGCGUUAUCCGGAAUUAUUGGGUUUAAAGGGUGCGUAGGCGGACUAAUAAGUCAGUGGUGAAAGCCUGCAGCUUAACUGCAGAAUUGCCAUUGAUACUGUUAGUCUUGAGUACAGUUGAGGUAGGCGGAAUGUGUCAUGUAGCGGUGAAAUGCUUAGAUAUGACACAGAACACCGAUUGCGAAGGCAGCUUGCUAAGCUGUAACUGACGCUGAGGCACGAAAGAGUGGGGAGCAAACA
rnacentral:rRNA from 1 species